rnacentral:lncRNA from 1 species
AUUUUUUUUAACUUUAAAGUUCCUGUAUUCCCAUUUUUAAGAGUAAACUAAAGAUUUUCCAGGCUUAGGAGUAUCUUUUUUCAGAACCGUGAUAAGAAAGUCAGAUUGAGGUAAUAAACCAGAGAGUUUGAUGAUAGGGAAAAAGAUAUCUGGUGAGGGGAGACAGAUUUAAAGGUGAAAACAAUUACUUUGAUGUAACAAAUUAACUUCUUAAAUAAAGUUUUGUGGUUUUGCUCCUGUGAUUUCGUAUUUGCUGCUAUAGUAGCUCACUAUUUUAUAGGGCUAAUAUAUAAAUCUGGCCCCAUUUAAAACUGAGGUCCUUUCUAAUCCAAACAGCCUAGAAAGAGACUGCAGCACAGUCUGCCAGCGGUGGCCAGUGUCCAUAUAGCUGAUGCAUGCUUUAAUGUUUGCCUGUAGCUGGCAGCACGGAGGUCAGGGAAGCUUCCUACCCUGCCAGACAGAGCAUUAUGAUUCUUGGGGGACUGGCAUCUGGGAGACAAGACAGGCCAAAGAGGGAACCGCUGAGGAGAGCGUGUGAAUGCAGUUGCAUGUUCCCAUGUUCUCCUAUAGCAGUCCUACUCUCCAGCUGCGCCAGUCCCCAUGUCACCAGCUCUGUACCAGUUGUCAUCUCAUUCAAGUGUGGCUUUACUUGGUGACAGUGGCCAUAGCUAAAUUACUUAGCAUGUUUGACUUUCUACAAUAACAAAAAUGGUCUUAAAUUUUUGUUUUGAUUUCCUAAAAAAAAUGUACACAGUGUCAUAACUUCACGUUUUAUAAACUAGUAUCUGGCUAUUAGUAUUUUACAGAAACCAUGGUUCUUGGUGACUACAUAUAUAUAUAUAUAUAUUUUUGUGACCUUUUUGUAAACUAAGUGCCGUUUCAACGUUACAAUCAUUUUUAGAGUUAUUGUAAUCAAUGUGAAUAUCAUGUUUUUUCAAAUCUGUUCUGAGCCUAGUGUUUGCUUUGUGAAAAAUAUGUGUAUUGUAUAUAUUCUGUAUAGUUAUACUGUAUUGAAAUAUUAGCUUGUUUGAUAUGAGAAAAAGUAUGUAUUGAGUACCUUUUUGCUAGCCUGAUUGCUUAAUCUUUUUUAAAAAGGUUUAAUUUUUUUUUUUUAAUCUUUAAACUGGCCUUUAUUAAUGGUCACAAAUAAAGUUGCAGUUAGAAGGGAUGGACAGGGAAAAUUUAGUCUUGAGUGUCUUUGGAUAGAAACAUGAGACUAAGAUUUGUUUCGGGUUUUUUGUUUGUUUUUGUUUUUGUUUUUUUUUUCUCAUUAAAAUACCUUACUGAUGUUUUAUGAAAU